GACGAACGCUGGCGGCGUGCCUAAUACAUGCAAGUUGAGCGCUGAAGGCUGGUACUUGUACCGACUGGAUGAGCAGCGAACGGGUGAGUAACGCGUGGGGAAUCUGCCUUUGAGCGGGGGACAACAUUUGGAAACGAAUGCUAAUACCGCAUAAAAACUUUAAACACAAGUUUUAAGUUUGAAAGAUGCAAUUGCAUCACUCAAAGAUGAUCCCGCGUUGUAUUAGCUAGUUGGUGAGGUAAAGGCGCACCAAGGCGAGGAUACAUAGCCGACCUGAGAGGGUGGGCGGCCACAUUGGGACUGAGACACGGCCCAAACGCCUACAGGAGGGAGCAGGAGGGAAUCGUCGGCAAUGGACGGAAGUCUGACCGCGCAACGCCGCGUGAGGGUAGAAGGUUGUCGGGUGGUAAAACUCGGUUGGUAGGGAAGAACGUUGGUGAGAGUGGAAAGCUCAUCAAGUGACGGUAACUACUCAGAAAGGGACGGCUAACUACGUG
rnacentral:rRNA from 1 species